AUUGAACGCUGGCGGCAUGCCUUACACAUGCAAGUCGAACGGUAACAGGUCUUCGGAUGCUGACGAGUGGCGAACGGGUGAGUAAUACAUCGGAACGUGCCCGAUCGUGGGGGAUAACGGAGCGAAAGCUUUGCUAAUACCGCAUACGAUCUACGGAUGAAAGCAGGGGACCGCAAGGCCUUGCGCGGACGGAGCGGCCGAUGGCAGAUUAGGUAGUUGGUGGGAUAAAAGCUUACCAAGCCGACGAUCUGUAGCUGGUCUGAGAGGACGACCAGCCACACUGGGACGGAGACACGGCCCAGACUCCUACGGGAGGCAGCAGUGGGGAAUUUUGGACAAUGGGCGAAAGCCUGAUCCAGCCAUGCCGCGUGCAGGAUGAAGGCCUUCGGGUUGUAAACUGCUUUUGUACGGAACGAAAAAGUUCUUUCUAAUAAAGAGAGCUCAUGACGGUACCGUAAGAAUAAGCACCGGCUAACUACGUGCCAGCCGCCGCCGUAAAAC
rnacentral:rRNA from 1 species